rnacentral:sRNA from 1 species
CAAGUCGUAACAAGGUUUCCGUAGGUGAACCUGCGGAAGGAUCAUUAGCAAAUUUAUGAACUCCGUUUCAUAAACCCAAUCGGCGUAUCUGUCCUUGUUGCUUCCGCAAGUUGGAUGCUAUUAUCAUCUGCUCUUGUUCUCAAGGGAGCUUGCGGGAGGAUUUUUCGAAACUUGAUUUGUUUUUAUUGUCUGAUAUCUUGCAUUGCCAAAAGUAUUAAAACUUUCAACAACGGAUCUCUUGGUUCUCGCAUCGAUGAAGAGCGCAGCGAAAUGCGAUAACUAGUGUGAAUUGCAGAAUUCCGUGAAUCAUCGAGUUCUUGAACGCAUAUUGCGCCCUCUGGUAUUCCGGAGGGCAUGCCUGUUCGAGUGUCAUUAAAUCCUCCUCAGGAGUGAAUCUUCUCACAUCCUGGUAUUGAAUUCGGAGUCCUGUUCAGUAAGGCUUCCAAUUCGAAAUCGAGUGGCACAAAUGAUUGUCAGUUCUGUGUGAUAAGUUUUCACCUUCACGGAUUGAGCUCUCGUUUGUCGUCUCCAACAAUCUUGCUCCAUCUUUAUGACCUCGGAUCAGGUAAGGAUACCCGCUGAACUUAA